AACGAACGCUGGCGGCAUGCCUAACACAUGCAAGUCGAACGAAGGCUUCGGCCUUAGUGGCGCACGGGUGCGUAACGCGUGGGAAUCUGCCCUUUGGUUCGGAAUAACAGCUGGAAACGGCUGCUAAUACCGGAUGAUGACGAAAGUCCAAAGAUUUAUCGCCAGAGGAUGAGCCCGCGUUGGAUUAGGUAGUUGGUGGGGUAAAGGCCUACCAAGCCGACGAUCCAUAGCUGGUCUGAGAGGAUGAUCAGCCACACUGGGACUGAGACACGGCCCAGACUCCUACGGGAGGCAGCAGUGGGGAAUAUUGGACAAUGGGCGCAAGCCUGAUCCAGCAAUGCCGCGUGAGUGAUGAAGGCCCUGGGGUUGUAAAGCUCUUUUACCCGGGAAGAUAAUGACUGUACCGGGAGAAUAAGCCCCGGCUAACUCCGUG
rnacentral:rRNA from 1 species